rnacentral:rRNA from 1 species
CUUGCUAAGGCCGAUGGCGACCGGCGCACGGGUGAGUAACACGUAUCCAACCUGCCGAUAACUCGGGGAUAGCCUUUCGAAAGAAAGAUUAAUACCCGAUGGCAUAAUAGAACCGCAUGGUUUGAUUAUUAAAGAAUCUCGGUUAUCGAUGGGGAUGCGUUCCAUUAGGCAGUUGGUGGGGUAACGGCCCACCAAACCUUCGAUGGAUAGGGGUUCUGAGAGGAAGGUCCCCCACAUUGGAACUGAGACACGGUCCAAACUCCUACGGGAGGCAGCAUG